rnacentral:rRNA from 1 species
CCUGUCAGACUUUUUCCCAAUUCCACGCUGCAACAUCCACUGUGCGUGUUUUGCCAGUGACAAAGUUGCAGGAAGAGAGUCUUUCUUCCGUCCACACGAGCCUUUAUCCCCUUCCUUGCUUUUCUCACCCGCGUCCCACCGAAAGCACCGGCGGAAAUUCUCCUCUCGUCGCCUUCGCCUUCGCCUUCGCCUUCGCCGUCGUCGUCUCUCUUCCGCUCUACUACUCGCCUCGGGUGUUCUCACAGUCUACUUCAGGUCCUUCUUGCUGCAGCCCAAAGAUCUCUCCUACUACUACAAUACACCCAGUUCGUUGUUCCGGAUUUAUUUGCCGCUUGAUGGACCGCUGCCGGAGAAAAAGUUGAGGAUCUGCGAGAUGGGUUCUGCUCUUCUCGGAAUUCUCGACGCAUCGUAGAACCCGCGGGCGUUCUUGGGCCGCCACCGGUCCUGAAAUGGAAGAAGAGGGCGCCCCGGCGCUGCGCGUGAUCCGGAGCUCCAUCGACGCGCUGGGGAGAGGGUUCGAUGCCACCCACGACACCAGGCUGCUCUACUGCAAGGGGUCUCGCCUCGUCGACGUCGACGAUGGCGAGCUGAGCUCCAGGGAUCUGGUCAUGCCUGACGGGCUGACUGUCCCCGGUGUGCCCAAGGGUGUUGACUGCUCCGGUGAGAGUGGGGUUGGUGUACCGGAGACCGCUGGCCCGUGCGCCUUCCACGAGAUGGCUGGGUAUUUCAACAAAAAAGCCCAGCUUGUAGGAGAUAUACCUCUUGGAAGCUUUAAUUCAGCAUAUAGUUUUACUGGAUCCAAGAGAUUUGAUGCCAUGGCUACCCAAAGUCUCGGGAUGGAGGGCAAGACCAUCCCUUUAUAUAAGGUCCAACUUGUGCGACAGCCUUUGUCAGUGGUAGAGGAAGUUAAGCAUGCAGUGCCUCACUCAUGGGAACCAUCAUCUCUCGCAAGGUUCAUUCAGAAUUAUGGAACGCAUGUCAUAACAUCCAUUACCAUUGGCGGGAAGGAUUUGAUUUACAUCAAGCAGCAUCCGUCAUCAUCACUUUCCGUAGUGGAAAUUAAAAAUUAUAUACACGAUCUUGGACAUCAGAGGUUUACUGAAAAUGAAAUCCAUACAGGCUCAGGCCCUAUAAGAUCAACGAAUAAGUUAUGAUUUUGGGUCAGGAAAGAGAAAAUCUUGGGUUCAACAGCCAAGGAGUAUAUCCACAACCUCCAAGUACACCAUAUAUUGCUGCAAAAGAGGAUGUCACUGUGAUUUUCAGAAGGAGGGGAGGAGAUGAUUUAGUUCAAAGUCAUUCUGAGUGGGCAAGAACUGUUAACUCAGCGCCUGAUGUUAUACAUAUGACCCUUUUUCCUAUAAUGACUCUGUUGGAAGCAGCCAUCCCUGGAAAAGACCAUCUCAUCCGGGCGAUCAACCUUUAUCUAGAAUGUAAACAUUGCCUUCAUAUAUAUUUAUGUUUUGAAUAAACCUCCAAUUGAGGAGCUGCGUUACUUCCUAGAGUUCCAGCUUCCCAGAGUUUGGGCACCAAUUCGUGAUGAGCACCCUCUCCAUCAAAGGAAAGAGCCUGUGUGCCCAUCCUUGCAGUUCAGCUUGAUGGGGAAAAAGCUGUACAUCAACCAAGAACAGGUGUCAGUGGGUCGCAAGCCAAUAACUGGCCUAAGGUUAUGCUUGGAAGGUGCUAAGCAGAACAGGCUAUGCAUCCAACUGCAGCAUCUAGCAUCUCUUCCAAAGAUCCUCAAGCCUUACUGGGAUGCACACAUCACGAUCGGUGCGGCAAAAUGGCAGGGGCCAGAGGAGCAGGACAGCCGCUGGUUUGAGCCUGUGAAGUGGAAUAGCUUCUCCCAUGUCAGCACAGCUCCAGUCGAGCACCAUGAGGUGCUCAUCGGGGACGCCUCCGGCGUGUACAUUGUCACCGGAGCACAGCUCGGGGUGUGGGACUUUGGUUUGAAGAACGUCCUGUACAUGAAGCUUCUCUACUCGAGGGUCCCCGGUUGCACCACCCGGAGAUCGCUGUGGGAUCACAGCCCUGCCGCCGCCAGCAGCCAUCCGACAGUUGGUCCUUCUAAGAUCACGUAUCUGGACCCGGGGGGUUCUGGCGCAGGCUCGAGCGAUGCAGGGAAGUUCGUGAAGAUCGUGGACAGGUCGGAGCUGUGCAAAGGCCCCGACGACAUGCCGGGGCACUGGCUGGUGACCGGCGGGAAGCUUGGCGUUGAAAAGGGGAGGAUUGUUCUGAGAGUGAAGUAUUCCUUGCUGAAUUACUGACAGCGUUAUCUGUGUUGUUGAAAACUUCGGGGUGCAGCAUAUGGUGUUGUAAGUGCAGUUGCAGUUGUGAUUUCCUUUUCUUGUUUUGUAGUCAAGUGAUAGAUUAAUCUGGUACGUGUCUGUUUGCAGCCGAUCGCUGUUCCUAUAGUUUUUACAAGAGAUUUUUCUCCAUGCAACGGGACAAUUUUGGUGGAGUUCUUCACGGUGUUUGUACAGGGCUUCAGUCUUGUAAAGUGCAUAUUUGUCAUUCAAGAUCGACACUCUUUCCCUUUCCCGUCCCCUAACUCUUAUGUGACUGAUGUAUUUCGGUUAUGAAAGUAAUGGAAAGGGGAUUAGCCCGGU